rnacentral:rRNA from 1 species
AUUGAACGCUGGCGGCAGGCCUAACACAUGCAAGUCGAACGAGUGGCGGACGGGUGAGUAAUGUCUGGGAAACUUCCUGAUGGAGGGGGAUAACUACUGGAAACGGUAGCUAAUACCGCAUACCAUCGGAUGUGCCCAGAUGUGAUUAGCUAGUAGGUGGGGUAAAGGCUCACCUGGGCGACGAUCCCUAGCUGGUCUGAGAGGAUGACCAGCCACACUGGAACUGAGAAACGGUCCAGACUCCUACGGGAGGAAGCAGGGGGGAAUAUUGCACAAGGGGGGCAAGCCGGAUGAAGCCAUGCCGCGUGUAUUAAUAAGGCCUUCGGGUUGUAAAGUACUUUCAGCGGGGAGGCGUUACCCGCAGAAGAAGCAACGGCUAACUCCGUGCCAGCAGCCGCGGUAAUAC